rnacentral:lncRNA from 1 species
UUAACUAUUUUAUAAGACACUUCUAUUUUAAAUUAAAAGUUAUGGCACAUGCUGGACUAAACUACACCAAUUGUUGAGAGUGAAACUUAUUUCAGGGAAUAUAUGUUUUCCAAUUCUAUUAAAGUUUUAAAAAAGAUUGCAAAUUAUUCACAAAGUUUCACCGAUUCUGAAAUUUGUUCAAUAAGCCCUGUGAAAGCUAAACAGUGGUAAGAAAAACAAUUUUAAAGGACAAAAGUUCUACUAUAUCUUUAUUCCAGCUAACAUAAGAUUAGGAGUUAACUGAAUUUAGGAUAUAGUUUCCAAUAAGGGCAAAACAUCUGUACUCUGCUGAGCUGCUGCGGGUGGAAGGGUGAGUAGCCUUAGCAAACCAAGCAGUUGUAACUUAUGUCAUAUCUUAAAUCAUUUAUAUGUUAAACAGAGAAAACAAACACUGCAAACCUAUUAAGAGUAUGAGUUUGGCUGUGGAAAAAUAAGCAUUCAAUUGUUUUAAAAAAAACCAUAAAGCAGAGAUAGCAUAAAACAAGCCAAAUUAAGUCAAAACAAGCGAUGUUUUAAGACAUAACAUACAUGCAUGAAUUUCAUUAAAGAUGAUAUUAUAGUUAAAACACCACAGGGUAUACUUAAAGUGACAUGAAAAAAUAAAAAUAACUGAGAGGGUGGUCAAACCUCAAAACAAGUGCUAUAACCACCACCCAAAAAUGCAAAAUAAAAAAAGCACAAACACACACAAAGAGAAACACACCGCUUGAAGCGGGCAGCUCCGGCUCGGCGUGCGCGGAGAAGCUCGUAGACCACGCGGAGCCAAGUUGCCACCGCGAUCGCACCCAUGGUGCAGGAGGCGGCCCGGGCGGCUGGAAACCCAGAGCGCGGGGCUCCAGCCCCACGCCCUACGCCCCGCGCCCCGGCCUCACGGCAGGAAGCUCGGCGCGGCGGCGCUGCUUCUCCCUAAGAGCUCGGGCCGCGGCCGGAGCGAUAAGGUGGAUCUGCGCUUCCCACCCUGCCAACUCCGCCCUCCCGGACACAUUCCUGAGAAGCCCGACUCCCGGGACGCCGAGCUGGGCGCCCCGGCAGGCAAGAGCUGGACGCCCA